rnacentral:rRNA from 1 species
GACGAACGCUGGCGGCGUGCUUAACACAUGCAAGUCGAACGGAAAGGCCCUGCUUUUGUGGGGUGCUCGAGUGGCGAACGGGUGAGUAACACGUGAGUAACCUGCCCUUGACUUUGGGAUAACUUCAGGAAACUGGGGCUAAUACCGGAUAGGAGCUCCUGCUGCAUGGUGGGGGUUGGAAAGUUUCGGCGGUUGGGGAUGGACUCGCGGCUUAUCAGCUUGUUGGUGGGGUAGUGGCUUACCAAGGCUUUGACGGGUAGCCGGCCUGAGAGGGUGACCGGCACCACGAGAACUGAGACACGGUCCAGAUUGCUACGGAAGGCAGCAUGAGGGAAGCUUCCGCAAUGGGCGAAAGCCUGACGGAGCAACGCCGCGUGAGUGAUGAAGGUCUUCGGAGAGUAGAACGCUGUGAUUAUGGAAGAAGAAAGGAGUAAGGAACGAGGCACGUCCGGCCGGGGACUAAGCAGAAAGGCACGGCUAACAACGUG